CACCUGACCUAGGGCGCCGUUGUUAUUAGGAGCGGCGAGGCGGGAGGCGCGGGGCAGCGGGGCUGGGCUCCGGCCGGGAGUCAGACGAGGGAGCGCGCGCGCGCUCCCGGACAGUUCUCCGCAGCCGCUCGCCCGAGCCUUCUACUUGGCCAACACAGCUGCCUCUACCACCUCGCGUGCCCGGUUCGUGGGCUUUCAGUUACCAAGCAUGUCCUGAAGAUGAAGAUACUCUCAGCCUAACGUCUCCAAGCAAAUAUUGAUUCAGCAGUAUCCCCAGGCAAAGCCACACCAUAUAUCAGUGAACAGAGAAACAACUGCCCUUCUCCGGGCCCCUGUCUGAGAAGCUGGAGCAUCAGCCCUGGAGCUCUCCGGAGCAGUUUCCUUGCUCACUGUCCCCAGCUGAACACAGCCGCAUGCAGAGGUCCAAAGCACGUAAACAGGAUACCCACCCUGCAUUAUCUUAUAUUUUAAGUCAAUAUGAAGAUGGACAUUCUACCCCUGAGACCAAUUUCGAUCAAAUACUUUUGUCAAUAAAAAGAUACUAAUGUCCGAGUGUGUCCAU
rnacentral:lncRNA from 1 species